ACUUAGGUACUUAGUGGCGGACGGGUGAGUAACGCGUGAGAAUCUGGCUUCAGGUCGGGGACAACCACUGGAAACGGUGGCUAAUACCGGAUGUGCCGCAAGGUAAAAGGCUUGCCGCCUGAAGAUGARCUCGCGUCUGAUUAGCUAGUAGGKGGGGUAAAAGCCUACCUAGGCGACGAUCAGUAGCUGGUCUGARAGGAUGAUCAGCCACACUGGGACUGARACACGGCCCARACUCCUACGGGAGGCAGCAGUGGGGAAUUUUCCGCAAUGGGCGAAAGCCUGACGGARCAAUACCGCGUGAGGGAGGAAGGSUCUUGGGUUGUAAACCUCUUUUCUCAGGGAAGAACACAAUGACGGUACCUGAGGAAUAAGCAUCGGCUAACUCCGUGCCAGCAGCCGCGGUAAUACGGAGGAUGCAAGCGUUAUCCGGAAUGAUUGGGCGUAAAGCGUCCGCAGGUGGCUAUGUAAGUCUGCUGUUAAAGAGUGAGGCUCAACCUCAUAAGARCAGUGGAAACUACAUGGCUAGAGUGCGUUCGGGGUAGAGGGAAUUCCUGGUGUAGCGGUGAAAUGCGUAGAUAUCARGAAGAACACCGGUGGCGAAAGCGCUCUGCUAGGCCGCAACUGACACUGAGGGACGAAAGCUAGGGGAGCGAAUGGGA
rnacentral:rRNA from 1 species